GAAGAGGCCAAAUGAAAUUGAAGAAAAAUCUCAGACCUAGACUGACUGACUGUUGGGUUCUGAUUGGAAUCAUCUAGAUGAAAGGGUUCCUCUCUGAAUGCAAGCCCCCUUCACGGUCACCAUCCAGGUUCCUCUCAGAAUGCAAGUCACGGUCACCAUCCAGGUUCCUCUCUGAAUUCAAGCCCCCUUCACGGUCACCAUCCAGGUUCCUCUCAGAAAUCAAGUCACGGUCACCAUCCAGGUUCCUCUCAGAAUGCAAGUCCUCGUCACGGUCACCAUCCAGGUUCCUCUCAGAAUGCAAGUCCCCGUCACGGUCACUGUCCACGUUCCUCUCAGAAUGUAAGCCCCCUCGUGGUCACCAUUCAUCCUCCAGCCAGGGGAGAAGAGAUGAGCCAACAGCCAGGCACCAUAGCUCUCCCAUGGAUGAAUGGAACAAGCGGUGGUCAGGAGAGACGUGAUUCGUAAGCAUAUCAGUUGGCCAUGACAGGAUACACCAGACAGAACAGUAGUUGAUGUCAACCUGCAAAGACAAUACUUUUCCCUCAAACCUGACAUCGUGCCUAUGCUGUUCUUUAA